rnacentral:rRNA from 1 species
UACGAAGGGGGCUAGCGUUGUUCGGAUUUACUGGCGUAAAGCGCACGUAGGCGGUUUGUUAAGUGAGAGGUGAAAUCCCAGAGCUCAACUCCUGGAACUGCCUUUCAUACUGGCAAGCUAGAGUCCGGAAAGAGGUAAGUGGAACUCCGUAGUGUAGAGGUGGAAUUCGUAGAUAUUAGGAAGAACACCAGGUGGCGAAGGCGGCUUACUGGUCCGGAACUGA